rnacentral:rRNA from 1 species
AUGAACGCUGGCGGCGUGCCUAAUACAUGCCAGUCGAGCGAACAGAUGAGGAGCUUGCUCCUCUGACGUUAGCGGCGGACGGGUGAGUAACACGUGGAUAACCUACCUAUAAGACUGGGAUAACUUCGGGAAACCGGAGCUAAUACCGGAUAAUAUAUUGAACCGCAUGGUUCAAUAGUGAAAGACGGUUUUGCUGUCACUUAUAGAUGGAUCCGCGCCGCAUUAGCUAGUUGGUAAGGUAACGGCUUACCAAGGCAACGAUGCGUAGCCGACCUGAGAGGGUGAUCGGCCACACUGGAACUGAGACACGGUCCAGACACCUACGGGAGGCAGCAGUAGGGAAUCUUCCGCAAUGGGCGAAAGCCUGACGGAGCAACGCCGCGUGAGUGAUGAAGGUCUUCGGAUCGUAAAACUCUGUUAUUAGGGAAGAACAAAUGUGUAAGUAACUAUGCACGUCUUGACGGUACCUAAUCAGAAAGCCACGGCUAACUACGUG